rnacentral:lncRNA from 1 species
CAAGCCGAACACCACUCAUGUGCCGCACGUACACUUGCCUCGCCGAUACAUGCCGACAACAGCCCCAACACGCGACGCGUAGCCAUGUGUUGUUGCCAAUGCCAACAUUGCAAAGCCAAGACAAGCCCCGCCAGGCACGAACCAUUGGAGUAUAUAAACGAACAAGGCGCCAUAAAUAAAAGCCACAGACACAACCCACAACAACCGCACGACCUUCAACAUGUACUAAACUCAGCCCCAUGCGCACGGCACCUUGCGGCGCUACUUGCACGAGGCCUCGCCAUUCCAUUGCCAAAAGCCAUCAGCUGCCACGAGCGAUGCCGCCACCCGAUGUUGCACCCAACAAUCGAUGGCAAUCGUCACGUACUUAGCUUAGCCCCAUGCGCACGGCACCUUGCGGUGCUACGUGCAUGAGGCCUCGCCGUUCCGUUGCCAAAAGCCAUCAACCGCCAAGAGCGAUGCCAGACACAACUCACAACAACUGAUGGCAAUCGGCACGUACUUAGCUUAGC